CAGAGCUUGUCAAACAUGUACUAAAUAAUAAUUUUUAGGCUAAAUUAUAUAAAAUUUUUCUGUGACAAUCUAAUUUUUUACUUUCGUCCCUUGUUAUUUAAAAACCUACCCUUUCCCUCUUUGUAAAGUAAAAAAUAUUCACUUCGUCCCCUACCGUUAGUAAUCUGUUAGGGUUUCGUUUAUAAAAUAUUAUUAUAUAUAUUUUUUAUGUCAAAAACGUUUUCAGCCUUCUCUUUUAUGAACAUGGUGAGGGACAAAUGGUCAUUUUAUCAUCACAGUUCACACCGUACCCUUCUGUGAAUAUUUUUUAUUUUAUAAGGAGGUAAAGUGUAAAUUUUUAAAUGACAGAGGGGAAUAUGAAAAAUCGAAUUUUGACAGAAUAAUUUUCUGUAAUUUAGCCUAAUUUUUAUAUAGUAGUUCUAAA
rnacentral:lncRNA from 1 species